GGACGCGUGGCCUAGCAUGGAUAGGGCACCGGCCUCCUAAGCCGGUUGUCCCGGGUUCAAAUCCCGGCGCGUCCG
rnacentral:tRNA from 1 species